UGCCAGCANHMGCGGUCAUACGACUAUCUAAAGCCUAAUAGACAGGUAAGUGGAAUAAAAAACAAUUAAAAAUAGAGGAAAAAAAAUARAAUAGACACUAAUUAAAUAGUAAUAAAACUUUCAUAGAAACAUUUUACUCUACAAUAAAAUCCCACGAAAAUCGAACAUAGAACCAGGAUUAGAUACCCURUUACUACCGAUUGUAAAUUAUUAAUACCGAGCAAUUACAAGAAAUAAAUCUUAAAAACUAAAAAGCAUGGCGGCCUUCUAUACAACCRGGGGAGCUUGCCCUAUAAACGAUARUCCCCGACAAUACUCACCUUUUUUAGAUUAAACCAGCAUGUAUACCUCCGCCGCCAGUUAACCUCAAAAGAGAAAAAAAGUUAACAACAAUCGAAUUUUUUCGAAGAAAGACAGGUCAAGGUGCAGCCUAUAAAAAGGAUCAAAGGUUAGCUACAUUAACACAAUAGUUAAACUAAAUACAAAUAAAUUCAAUAGAAAAGUAUGGAGAUAGUACUUGAAAGUAAGACUAAAUUAAAAAGUUAGACUGAACAAAUAAAUAGAAGGUGCACAAAUCGCCCGUCAAUCCCACAUAAACAAAGUAGGGAWAAGUCGUAACAHAGUA
rnacentral:rRNA from 1 species